GGCUAGCCUCGAGGUAAAGAGUCAUGGAGGUAGAGCACUGUUAGGACUAGGGGCCCUUCUCGGGUUACCGAAAUCAGAUAAACUCCGAAUGCCAUGAACUUAUACUCGGGAGUCAGACUGCGAGUGAUAAGAUCCGAAGACGAAAGGGAAACAGCCCAGACCACCAGAUAAGGUCCCCAAAUAAAAGUUAAGUGGAAAAGGAUGUGGGGUUGCUUAGACAACCAGGAUGUUGGCUUAGAAGCAGCCA
rnacentral:rRNA from 1 species